AGCGAACGCUGGCGGCAGGCCUAACACAUGCCAGUCGAACGGACCUUUCGGGGUUAGUGGCGGACGGGUGAGUAACACGUGGGAACGUGCCUUUAGGUUCGGAAUAGCUCCUGGAAACGGGUGGUAAUGCCGAAUGUGCCCUUCGGGGGAAAGAUUUAUCGCCUUUAGAGCGGCCCGCGUCUGAUUAGCUAGUUGGUUGAGGUAACGGCUCACCAAGGCGACGAUCAGUAGCUGGUCUGAGAGGAUGGCCAGCCACAUUGGGACUGAGACACGGCCCAAACUCCUACGGGAGGCAGCAGUGGGGAAUCUUGCGCAAUGGGCGAAAGCCUGACGCAGCCAUGCCGCGUGAAUGAUGAAGGUCUUAGGAUUGUAAAAUUCUUUCACCGGGGACGAUAAUGACGGUACCCGGAGAAGAAGCCCCGGCUAACUUCGUG
rnacentral:rRNA from 1 species